rnacentral:rRNA from 1 species
UCAGUAACACGUGGAUAAUCUGCCCUUCGGUGGAGGAUAAUCUCGGGAAACUGAGGAUAAUACUCCAUAGAUCUAAAGUGCUGGAAUGCUUUUAGAUCGAAAGAUUUAUCGCCGAAGGAUGAGUCUGCGGACUAUCAGGUUGUAGUCAGGGUAAUGACCUGACUAGCCUACGACGGAUACGGGUAGUGAGAGCUAUAGCCCGGAGAUGAUAUCUGAGACACGAUAUCAGGCCCUACGGGGCGCAGCAGGCGCGAAAACUUUGCACUGUGCGAAAGCACGACAAGGGGAUCCCAAGUGUUGGCUCGUAAGAGUCAUCUGUUUCUUUGUCUAAAAAACAAAGAGAGUAAGGGCUGGGUAAGACGGGUGCCAGCCGCCGCGGUAAUACCUGCAGCCCAAGUGGUGGCCGUUAUUAUUGGGCCUAAAACGUCCGUAGCCGGUUUUGUAAAUGCCUAGGUAAAUCGUACGGCUUAACCGUACGAAUUCUGGGUAGACUGUAAAACUUGAGAUCGGGAGUGGCUAGAGGUACUCCUGGGGUAGAGGUGCAAUUCUGUAAUCCUAGGGGGACCACCAGUGGCGAAGGCGUCUAGCUAGAACGAGUCUGACGGUGAGGGACGAAGCCCUGGGGCGCAAACGGGAUUAGAUACCCCGGUAGUCCAGGGUGUAAACGCUGCUCGCUUGAUGUUAGUCGGGCUCCGAGCCCAACUAGUGUCGGAAAGAAGUUGUUAAGCGAGCUGCCUGGGGAGUACGGUCG